UUUUUUGGGGGGAUUUCCGCAAUGGGCGAAAGCCUGACGGAGCAACGCCGCGUGAGGGAGGAAGNCUCUUGGGUUGUAACCCUCUUUUCUCAAGGAAGAUAAUGACGGUACUUGAGGAAUCAGCAUCGGCUAACUCCGUGCCAGCAGCCGCGGUAAUACGGAGGAUGCAAGCGUUAUCCGGAAUAAUUGGGCGUAAAGCGUUCGUAGGUGGUUUUGUAAGUCUGCUGUUAAAGCGNGUAGCUCAACUACAUAUAGGCGGUGGAAACUNCAAAACUUGAGUGCGUUCGGGGUAGAGGGAAUUCCCCGGUGUAGCGGUGAAAUGCGUAGAGAUCAGGAAGAACACCGGUGGCGAAGGCGCUCUACUAGACCGCAACUGACGCUGAGGACGAAAGUAG
rnacentral:rRNA from 1 species